AGUGAGAUGUCUGAGAGGAUUAAAGAGCGUGUUUGGAAAAUACGUGUAUAUUUUUUUAUACCGAGGGUUCGAAUCCCUCUCUCACUG
rnacentral:tRNA from 2 species